rnacentral:rRNA from 1 species
GGAGGGUGCAAGCGUUGUCCGGAUUUAUUGGGUUUAAAGGGUGCGUAGGUGGCCUUAUAAGUCAGCGGUGAAAGUCUGCAGCUUAACUGUAGAACUGCCAUUGAUACUGUAGGGCUUGAGUACUGAUGAGGUAGGCGGAAUUGAUAGUGUAGCGGUGAAAUGCAUAGAUAUUAUCAAGAACACCGAUUGCGAAGGCAGCUUACUAAGGAGUUACUGACACUGAGGCACGAAAGCGUGGGGAUCAAACAGGAUUAGAUACCCUGGUAGUCCACGCCAUAAACGAUGAUUACUCGAUGUAUGCGAUAGACUGUAUGCGUCCAAGCGAAAGCGUUAAGUAAUCCACCUGGGGAGUACGACCGCAAGGUUG